AUCACAACCCUAUGAGGUGGGUACUAUUAUCCCCAUUUUACAGAAGAGGAAACUAUGAAUGGCAGAGCUGGGCUCAAAUCCAGCUCCAGUGCUGGCACUCUUAACUAUUACACAAUGGAACAGAAGAUUCUACAAAUGCAUCCCAAAAUGUCAGGGAAUUUAGUAUUUGAUAAAGGGGGCAUUUUAAGUUAAUGAGUGAAAUGUCAACUAUUCAAUAAUUAUGAAG
rnacentral:lncRNA from 1 species